rnacentral:tRNA from 1 species
CGAGUAUAGGCGGCGGAUUGUAAUUCUGUUUAGAGAGGUUAGAAUCCUCUUCUUUCCA